AUUGAACGCUGGCGGCAGGCCUAACACAUGCAAGUCGAGCGAGCGGCGGAGGGGUGAGAAAUGUAUGGGGACUGCCCGCUAGAGGGGGAGAACUACUGGAGACGGUAGCUCAUACCGCAUACAAUCGGAUAACCCAUAUUGGGUUAGCUAGUAGGGGAGGUAAUGGUUCACCUAGGCGACGAUCCCUAGCUGGUCUGAGAGGAUGAUCAGCCACACUGGGACUGAGACACGGCCCAGACUCCCAGGGAGGCAGCAGUGGGGAAUAUUGGACAAUGGGGGCAACCCUGAUGCAGCCAUGCCGCGUGUAUGAAGAAGGCCCUAGGGUUGUAAAGUACUUUCAGUCGGGAGGCGUUACCUACAGAAGAAGCACCGGCUAACUCCGUGCCAGCAGCCGCGGUAAUUC
rnacentral:rRNA from 1 species